UACUUCAGUGAGUUUAUUAAAUCCUCCCUCCGCCAUCCAAGAUUUAUAUGAGCAAAUCUACAACAAUUCGUCAAAUUUAAAAUUGACAUUGUACAAACGAUACGAAUCCAACGUCGAACCGAUAAUACUCACAAUAGUAACAAUCUAUUUGCUCAUUCGCGAUUUUCGCAUGUUAAAUGAGGAUUUCAAUUGGAGACUAUAUGUUAUACUUUUUGUUAUCGCUAUCAAUAUAUAUAUUCCGUGGAUAGUUAUGCUAUCAUUCUUGUGGAAUUAGUGACUAAUUAUCAAAACUGCAGUGAAUAAUUAUCAAAAUUACAAUUGGUACAAAAUUAUAUAUUCGAGCUGAUACUUGAUCCGCUUGAUGUGACCGGUAUUACAAAGGGAUUACAAAGGGAAAACGUAUUUUCAAAUAAAUUUAUAUAUAUAUAUGACAUUUUAUUUUAUUUAUAUAUAUAUAUAUAUCAUAUAUAUCAUAUAUACAAAUAAAUGUCAUUAACAUAUAAAAGAAAUACGUCAAAACUACACAUAAUAAAUUUCACAAAUUGCCAUUCUAAUGAAUUCUUCGUCGAGAACUAUCAAGUCUUUCGUAUGAUGAUAACAUGUUGAAUUGAAUACCGAUCUUUCUAAUAUCGACCUUUAAUUCGACACAUAGACAUCGAUGUUUUGAUAAUUGUUGACAAAGUACGUGAAACCAUCGAUGUUGUCAGACGAAGAAGUAGUCGCGUUCAGUUCUCUUGGUACACAAUGUUUAAUACUUCAGUGAGUUUAUUAAAUCCUCCCUCUGCCAUCCAAGAUUUAUAUGAGCAAAUCUCCAACAAUUCGUCAAAUUUUGAAUUGACACUUGACGCUGUUAAGACUGUGCUAAAUAUAUUGUGUAAACAAUACGAAUGCAACGUCGUACCGAUAAUACUCACAAUAGUAACAAUGUAUUUGCUCAUUCGCGAUUUUCACAUAUUAUAUGAGGACGGAGAUUUCGAUUGGAGGAGAAUAUAUGUUGCGGACAUUAUGUUCAUUUGGUGGCUAAUUCCAGUGGCAUUACGUUCCUUAGACUCAGUUACUGCAGUGAAUACUUAUGAAAAUUACAAUCGAAUUGCAUAUUCGAGCUGAUAAUUGAUCCGCUUGAUGUGACUGGUAUUACAAAGGGAAAAGUAUUUUCAAAUGAAUUUUAAUAUAGAUUGACGUAUAAAACUAUUACUUUUAUACAAGUGUGAUGUAUGUAACUUUUAAGAGAAAGUUGAACACAGUAAAAUACAUAUGAUAGUAAUUUGCAUGUUAAAUAGCAAAUGGUAAAGCUAAGUACAGUGGAUUGUGCGUGAAAACAAAGGAGUCAACAGAGCGGUAGAAAUGAUGAUUGUGCAGAUGUCGUACAUGAGCAUUAAUAUAGCUGGAAUAACGGAACAAAGAAACAGAAUAACUUUUGACGAAACGACUAAAGCCAAUUAAACGACGACCGCAUAAUUGCAAAUGAAAUAAAAUUGCAAUCGAUCGAAAAAUUUAUGCUUAUGGGAAUUUGAAUAGAAUCAAUGUAAUCAGUAAACGAGAUAGAGUCAGAAUUAAAAAUGCAAGAGAGGUCAGAUUAUAAAUUGUUGAAAAUGGAAGUGUAGAAACAUAAUGGAAAUAAUAUACUAAAAUAGGAAAAACUAAAGAUAAGGUAAAAGGAGUACUUUUAGCUAAUAAUACUUAUUUUCUUAUUAUUUCGCACAUGUAUAAAUAUAUGAAUAUGAUAAAUAUAUAUUUAUACUAUAUUUUUUCUAUAUUUAUAAUAUAUAAAUAUAUUUAUACUACAUUUCCAUUACGUUUUUCAUACAUUAGUGAAUGUUCGAAUGUUUGACAGAGAUAUAAAUUUCUUAUCAUUGUGACUGAAUUAUCAUUAAAUUAUCGUGCAAUCCACAACUUUUAUUAUUACUUAAAUUUCGACACUAAGGAAAUUGUAUGGCAAAUAAUUGAAAGUGCAAAUGUGCAAAUAGUCUAAAGUUUUAUUUGACAUAGUCGUAUUGAUAUUACAAUUACGCUAAUAACUAAUUAUACGACAUUAAUACAAACUCCUGUAUGUACAAACUUAUAUCCACUUGUAUUUAAAAUACAUUAUAUCAUUUA